GGCUGCGGAGCGGACCAGGGGUUGUCGCCGCGGUCCGAGCCCCUCGCCGCCCAGCGCGGCCGCUCGCAGGACUUGGGCUCUGUCUCCCCAUUCUCCCCUGGCCUGUGGCGUUGAAUCAGCUGUCAGUCUAAGUAGAGAUCCUCUUAAGUUAUAAAGAGUUGCCCAGCCAAGAAGAGCCCAGGACCAGAUGGCUGCACGUCUGAAUCAUACAAACUGUAGAGGAAGAUCUAACACCAACACUGCUCAGACUGUCCCAGACCAUUGAGAGAGAGAACCUUCCAAACUCACUCUAGGAAGCCAGUGUUAUCUUAAUUCCAAAACCAGACAAGGAUCUAACAAAAAGAACUGUACAUCUGUAAUCCCUGAUGACCAUAAAUUCCAAAAUCAACAAAGUGCUUUGAAACUUUGUGUUCUCCCAUUUUUUAUUUUUUGCUGCUUUUAUUUUUUAAUAAGUCCUUUUUUUCUUCGCAUUUUUUGUUAUUUUUUCCAAUUUAAAAAUUUUUUUAGAUAGCAUUAGUUGUUUUUUUUUUUUUUUUUUUAGAGUUUAUUUAUUUGAAAGGCAGAGUUAUAGAGAUAGAGGCAGAGAGAGAGGGAGAGAGGUCUUCCAUCCACUGUUUCACUCCCCAAAUGACCGCAAUGGCCAGAGCCCAUCUGAAGCCAGGAGUCUGGAGCUUCUUGCAGGUCUUCUAUGUGGCUGUAGGGGCCCAAGGACUUGGGCCAUCCUCCACUGCUCUCCCAGGCCAUAGCAGAGUGCUGGAUCAGAAGUGGAGCAGCCAGGACUAGAACUGGCGCCCAUAUGGGAUGCUGGCACUGUAGGCAGCGACUUCACUUGCUACGCCACAGUGCCAGCCCUGGUAGCAUUAGUGUUACUAAAUAGAAUUGUUGGUGUAGUUAGUAUAGUUAGUAUCUUAUAUUAGUAAUGUAAGCAUGCUACACUUGGUGGUCACUAGACUAAUGGCAUAGUGUAGUGCUGUGGUUCUCACUGAUAAUGACAGGGUUUUGGAAAAUACUGGCCAUGCAGAGCUAGCCCGCCAUCUGUUAACUGGGACCCAGGUGGACAUGAUGGUCAUUCAGAAGAUGGCCAGGACUGCGGCCUCCAGAGGAUGUCCUAGAAGCAGUUGUAAUGAAGGGUGUGAGUCCGCCAAACAUCCUGCGGCUCUGCUCUGAAGAACACGGCAGACAGCACACGUUGUCAUGGCGCACGCUAGCACAGAGAGCUGCUGAGCUGCGUGACAGAGCACGGCCUCCCGCGGGCCGCGGCUGCCUGUGCCAUGUCGGAGCAGCCGUCACAGGCGGAGCGCUGUUGCCGCCUCGAAGGGCGCGGUGUGUGGGACUCGGAAGAGGGCAUUGUCCUGGAUGCUGCUCUCAACAUGAAACCCGCUGACUCCGCCAGGUCUUCAAGGUCACCGAGGGGCAAAGGCCAGGCACACUGUGUGGCAGUGCCCCAUAUUGUGUUCGAGAAAUGUUCCAGGCCCGAGAUAGAAUAGCCCCAAAGUGCACCGCUGGAGCCUGGGCGGGUUCCGUACGCCACAGUGACAGUGUCCCUGCCGUUUGAUGGAGAGACACUGGUACAGCUGCCGGAGUGCAUGUUCUCAGGAAAAUACCAGGUUCACCUUUACAUUUGAAACUGAAGUUUGUAGAGAAGAAUAUGGACGUCAACCCCAGGGAGAGGCCCACGUUAGACUGUCUCGUGGGUCACUGUGGGCCAGAAGAAUCCCCGAGACUCCAUGUUGAGCCAUGAAAUUCAUGGUUAGCCUUGUGAAGACACCUGUCCAUAGGACGGUGCCAUGGCCACAUACCCAUGCUGAGCGGCCAGACUUCCCAGCAAAGACUGCACCGUGAUGGCAGAGCCUGGGCCUGAGGCCAGGCACGUCUUCACCAUGUUCUCCUUCCACUGCCUGCUGCCCGAGGGCCCGGAGCCAGGAUAAAUGCUUGCAGUGGAGCUCCUGUGCCUGACGGUGCCCUUUCUGGCCUGCAGGUGAGGAGCCCCAGCCCCAGCCCCAGCGCUGAGCAAGGCCCUGUGGCCACCUCCUGCACUGUCAGCCCCAGGAGCAGUGAGGAGCACUCGGAAGAAAACUUCUCCUAGGGAGCAGCAUUACAAGAAAUUGUGCCAGCAAGCCUGGACCUGACAUUGCCCGCAAGCAGAGCCAGGACUGGCAAGGGGCUGGCGGGAAGAUAGUGAACUCCCUUCUUCCCGUGGGGACGUUGCGUCCUGCUGCCCCCAUAGCCAAACUCCGGGGGAUUGCUCGAGGGGAGGGGCCCUCAAGCUGAGCUUGAUGGGUUUUGUUUCAUUUCAGCCUUUUGCUCAUGAUUCUCAUGAAUAAAAUCUUGAUUACAUGCA